rnacentral:rRNA from 1 species
UGCGUAGGUGGUUUUGUAAGUUAGAUGUGAAAUUCCUGGGCUUAACCUGGGGACUGCGUCUGAUACUGCGAAGCUAGAGUACUGUAGAGGAAAGUGGAAUUUCCGGUGUAGCAGUGAAAUGCGUAGAUAUCGGAAGGAACAUCAGUGGCGAAGGCGACUUUCUGGACAGAUACUGACACUGAGGCACGAAAGCGUGGGGAGCAAACAGGAUUAGAUACCCUGGUAGUCCAUGCUGUAAACGAUGAAGACUGGCUGUUGGUUGCCCUUGGGCAAUUAGUAGCGAAGCUAACGCGUUAAGUCUUCCGCCUGGGGAGUACGGCCGCAAGGUUAAA